rnacentral:rRNA from 1 species
AGUGAACGCUGGCGGUAGGCCUAACUCAUGCAAGUCGAACGGCAGCACAGGAGAGCUUGCUCUCUGGGUGGCGAGUGGCGGACGGGUGAGGAAUACAUCGGAAUCUACUUUUUCGUGGGGGGUAACGUAGGGAAACUUACGCUAAUACCGCAUACGACCUACGGGUGAAAGCAGGGGACCUUCGGGCCUUGCGCGAUUGAAUGAGCCGAUGUCGGAUUAGCUAGUUGGCGGGGUAAAGGCCCACCAAGGCGACGAUCCGUAGCUGGUCUGAGAGGAUGAUCAGCCACACUGGAACUGAGACACGGUCCAGACUCCUACGGGAGGCAGCAGUGGGGAAUAUUGGACAAUGGGCGCAAGCCUGAUCCAGCCAUACCGCGUGGGUGAAGAAGGCCUUCGGGUUGUAAAGCCCUUUUGUUGGGAAAGAAAUCCAGCUGGCUAAUACCCGGUUGGGAUGACGGUACCCAAAGAAUAAGCACCGGCUAACUUCGUGCCAGCAGCCGCCGUAA